UACGUAGGUGACAAGGCGUUGUCCGGAUUUACUGGGCGUAAAGAGCGCGCAGGCGGUCGUUCAAGUCGAGUGUGAAAGCCCCGGCUCAACUGGGGAGGGUCACUCGAUACUGAUCGACUUGAAGGCAGGAGAGGGAAGCGGAAUUCCCGGGUGUAGUGGUGAAAUGCGUAGAUAUCGGGAGGAACACCAGUGGCGAAGGCGGCUGCCUGGC
rnacentral:rRNA from 1 species